rnacentral:rRNA from 1 species
CCCUUAGAUGUUCUGGGCUGCACACGUGCUACACUGGCAGGUUCAGCGAGCUUCAUGCCCUGAUCUGAAAGGAAUGGGAAAUCUUUUCAAAACCUGCCGUGCUUGGGAUAGAUGUUUGCAAUUAUUCAUCUUCAACGAGGAUUGCCUUGUAAGCGCACGUCAUCAGCGUGCAUUGAAUACGACCCUGUAUUCUGUACACACCGCCCGUCGCUCCUACCGAUUGGGUGUGCUGGUGAAAUGUUCGGAUCGGCCGUUUGUCGCGGUUUCCGCGUCAUGUGGCUGAGAAGUUCAUUAAACCCUCCCACCUAGAGGAAGGAGAAGUCGUAACA